GCAGUCGUGGCUGAAAGGUUAUGGCGAUGGUCUUGAAAACCAUUGGGUUCUUCCCGCGCAGGUUCGAAUCCUGUCGGCUGCG
rnacentral:tRNA from 1 species